rnacentral:rRNA from 2 species
UGCAGAAUCCCGUGAACCAUCGAGUCUUUGAACGCAAGUUGCGCCCGAAGCCACUAGGCUGAGGGCACGUCUGCCUGGGUGUCACGC